AUUCAUUUGCAGGAAGAAUACCAGGGAAUGUGUAUCUCUCAUCAGCUGGGCAAGAGCUGAGUCAUGUCUUAUUAAGCACGAUAAGGCUGGUGAUAUGUUGAUGGAAGUAACAAUUUGGCACAUGACCGGGAAAGCAGCAGAUGCCACGUGGUUAGGCGUCAGUAAACUAUUUGUUCCAGCACCUCGAAAGUUUAUUGGAACCAGGGGGUCAGCCAGCCUUCAGUAACUGGCCAGCCCGGACUUCUACUCCGAGAAGACUUAUCCUCUUGGAGGAUCAGAAAGAUUCUCACAAUUACAUUUGUUACGUCGCAACACACCCGCCAGCAUUUUGAAUCCUGACCCUGAGAGAACACAAAUAUGCCUAGGAGAAAGCUUGAAGUGAAUUCUUAUCAUGUCCUUGAGAUACAAACACAGCCCACUUUGCCUGAGACUUCAGCUUUGGGUUAAUUAGUAGAACUUCAAGCGAGGGGAAAGAAAGGGGCAGAGACAUUUUAAGCCCCAAGUGGAAAACUAUGAGAUCUGUGUUUGUCUUGAUACAUGUGUGUAUCUCAGUAUGUGUCUUUGUCUUUGGUUAAUGUUGCUGACGUUAAUUUGUAAAUGAGCUCGAUUUCAUUGACUUAAAAGUAAGCGCUUACAAAUCAAACAAUUCUAAAUACAAGGGAAAUUAAGCUAACCGAAUUCUAGGUUCUCGUGAACUGGGAAAUAUUCAGUAUUAAAUUAAUACCUGGUAUUAACGUUUCUUGAACAAAUUAAUACAGAUAUGUCUUUAGAGUCAUCAAGUAUAAUAGUUUUAUUGUGCCUAGGUUUAAUAUAAACUAAAUAAGAUCCUAUUAUAUCUGUUGCAAAUUUGUCAGCAAUGAAAGUAACUUGAUGUGAAGAAAUUUUUAAGACAAGAAAAUACAAAUGAGAUAAGAGCUCUGGGUAAACUUUUUAGGAAUAAGUAUGUUUUAGGAAUGUCAACUUAAGAAUAAUCCUUCCAGAUGCUCGAAAACUUGAAAAUUUAGAGUUGUGCUAAAUUAAGUUAAAUGAUGGAAGUUUAUUGAAUAACUAGGCCAUUUCCAAAUAAAAUAAGAUACUAAAACAUCCCAAGGAGAGAUAUUAAACUAAUUAGGUUCAUUGGGUAUGUUAAAUUACAUGGGAAGUAUUGUCAAAUGAGUAAUAAAUCUUCUUAGGUUAUAUUAUAUGGUAAAUGUUACUAAUAUAGAUACUCUAGAAAUUAUAUGGGAUUCCUAAAGUUCUGAUAUGUCCCGGUAAAAUGUUAUCAGUCAUAAAUCCAGUUAUUAUCUUAAGGUGUUGUAUGUCACAGCAGUAGCCAAGUUACUUUGUCAAAUUACAUUACAUUGUAAUCAGAUUUUAAAUGUGUCUUCUUAAGUCUUUUAUCAUUAUAGACAGUUAUGGUUUUAUUCUGAUGCCUUUGCAAAAACACUUCCUCUUCAAGAAGAUUUAUAGAAAGGGCUUUUGAUAAAUACAGGUUUCUGACUUGUACUGAACUGGGUAAGAAAUUGAAGAAUUCUAGAAAAAACCUGAUGGCUUCAUAAAAAGUUAACAAAAGAACUAAAUGAACUGGUGAAUAUGGUUAUAAUUUUAUGGUUUCUAUCUGAAAAAUUACUGGUUUGAAUCUAUGUUUUCCAGGUGUGAGGAAAACCUUCCCAUCAAGCAAAUUAUGGCUUACAGUAAUUUGGUAAAUUAUACUUUUGUAAGCAGAAUUGAAACAUUUAUAUUUUCCCUCUGCCUGCUCCCUCCAGAGAUUGGAAACUCUUAGGUUCCCAACAGCUUUAUCAGAUAAAUUAGGAAGGCUACAUCACUAACAGGUACAGAAAUCUCAAGUUAUUUUGGGGACCUUGAAAAGGAAGGAAUUCACCUAAAUCUGGUAAGCGAAAUCUGUGACAAGCCCUUGGUGUGACUUUCCUGGUCCUGAGAGGUCUUUUAAAAGUUUAGUCUGAGACUCCCUAUAAAAAUUUCAGUGAGCAAAAAGACUGUAUGAUCGAUUACAAUUAUAUAAACCAUCAGGCCAUGUUAAUUGAGAGUAGACUGAAAUUUGAUUCUCUCUCUCUGUUAAGAGAACAAAAUUUUCUUGGAAUGCUGCUUUAAUAACAGACUAUGUAAAUUUCUUUGCCUUUAAGUGAUUUGUAUUUGCUUUUAAAAUCUUUUGUUACUUUGGUAAAGUAAAUAAGUAUUAUUUCACAAUGAUCUAUGAAGAUUUUGGCACAUGUAGAUAAAGUUCAUCCUGCUUCUACAAAAAUUAACCCCCCAUUGUCAGACUUUUGCCAUCCUGAUGUCUUUGUAACGUGGCAAUGGCCUACUCCUAAGUCAGAGAAUUUAAAAUGAGUUAAAAAUUGCUGUAAAUCAAAGAGUCAGGGCUAUGGAAAAUCCAAGACGGCUGCUUGGCUUUUUCCAGCUCCAUGACAAACCUCAUUUUUAUGUGAUGGGUUAAAGCCUUCCCUGGCUGCAGGGUUAAUGCCCUCACAAUGGAAACAAAAAAAUUAUGCUUCAAUGAAUAUUAAAUUCUAGUUUUGUUAAUUAAGGUCUGUGUUUACCAAGACUCACUUUCUGAUAGUUCCUUGCUGUUAUGUUAUACUGCUAACAAGUGUAAUAGAAUUAUUAAAGGACACUCUAAGUUUGUUUCUAAAGCUUAUCUCAGUAAUCUGUCUUUGGAUGAAGAUCAGAUGCCCCAGACCUAUAACCAGGGGAUUAUGCAUAUUGGAAAAGACAUAGUUUUUUUUUUUUUGCGGUAUGUAGGCUUAUCACUGCUGUGGCUUCUCCCAUUGCGGAGCACAGGCUCCGGACGG